rnacentral:rRNA from 1 species
UACGAAGGGGGCUAGCGUUGCUCGGAAUCACUGGGCGUAAAGCGCACGUAGGCGGAUUGCUAAGUCAGGGGUGAAAUCCUGGAGCUCAACUCCAGAACUGCCUUUGAUACUGGCGGUCUCGAGUCCGGGAGAGGUGAGUGGAACUGCGAGUGUAGAGGUGAAAUUCGUAGAUAUUCGCAAGAGCACCAGUGGCGAAGGCGGCUCACUGGCCCGGUACUGACGCUGAGGUGCGAAAGCGUGGGGAGCAAACAGG